GAUUCUCAUAUGUUUCCUUAGCCUGGUACCUGGCAAGACAAAAUAACAGAGUUGGAAGGGACCUUGUAGGUCAUCUAGUCUAGGUGCUUCCAAACUGGCAUGCAUUUAUGAUAGUUGCAUUACUUGGAACAACUUACAUCCUACAAUGAUAUCUUGAAAACCGUCAAACAUCUUUCUCUUCUUGGGAAAGACUCAAUAGGUGGAUAAAAUGGCCAAAUGCAAUCUAAACAUCUGGCUGAGUGUGU